rnacentral:sRNA from 1 species
GCUGGGUGCAGUGGCGCAGACCUGUAAUCCCAGGGGCUCUGGAGGCUGAGGCAGGAGGAUCAUGAGUUCAAAGCCAGCCUCAGCAACAGCAGGGUACUAAGCAAACUCAGUGAGACCUUGUCUCUA